UAAAUGGAUUUAUUAUAAUUAAUAUAUAUAUGAAUAUUAUAAUAUAUAAGGUACUCAGUAUUAAAUUUUAUACAAUGAAUGAAAGUUUUAUAUAGAUAUAAUAAGUUAGAGUUGGUAAAUGAUUGUGCCAGCAGCUGCGGUUAUACAAAUAACUCAAAUUAAACAAAAAUGUUGUAGAAAAUAAAGUAAGGUAAAAAAUAAAUGGAAAAUAUAGAAAAGGAUAUUAAUUAUAAUUAAGUAAAAUUUUUUUAUGAGUUUUGAGAGUUAUAAAUUUCUAUAAUACUUAUUCUUUGAAAAUUAGAAAAUAAACUAGGAUUAGAUACCCUAUUAUUUUUAUAUAGUAAAAUUUGAAAAGAUUUUUCUACUAAGGUAUUAAGGAUGCAUAAAAAUUGCUAAUUGUAUUUAAAACUUAAAAGAUUUGGCGGUUUCACAUAUCCAGUUAGGGGAGCUUGUUAAUAUAAUAUGAUAAUCCUCGAUUUAAACUAACUUUUUUAAAAAAAAAUAAUAUAGUUUGUGUAUUGCUGUCAAUAGUCUAUAUUUUGAGAAAAUAUAAAAAGACUUAAAAAUUUUAACAAAAAUUUUCAUGUCAAGUCAAAAUGCAGCUAAUAAAAAAGGAUUAAUGAGCUACUUUCUAUAAUGUUUAGGAUUCAAGUUUUAAUAUUUAAUUAUUAAAAUGAGAUGGACUUAAUAGUAAUUUAAAAUUAGUUUGUUUAUAUGAAUGAUUAGGUUUUGUGAAGUGUACAUAUCGCCCGUCGCUCUUGUUGUGAGAUAAGAUAAGUCGUAACAUAGUAAGGGUAAUGGAAAUUGUUCUUGGUAAUAA
rnacentral:ncRNA from 1 species